rnacentral:rRNA from 1 species
AACGAACGCUGGCGGCAGGCUUAACACAUGCAAGUCGAGCGCCCCGCAAGGGGAGCGGCAGACGGGUGAGUAAAGCGUGGGACUCUACCCAUCUCUACGGAAUAACGCAUGGAAACGUGUGCUAAUACCGUAUACGUCCUUCGGGAGAACGAUUUAUCGGAGAUGGAUGAGCCCGCGUUGGAUUAGCUAGUUGGUGGGGUAAAGGCCUACCAAGGCGACGAUCCAUAGCUGGUCUGAGAGGAUGAUCAGCCACACUGGGACUGAGACACGGCCCAGACUCCUACGGGAGGCAGCAGUGGGGAAUAUUGGACAAUGGGCGCAAGCCUGAUCCAGCCAUGCCGCGUGAGUGAUGAAGGCCCUAGGGUUGUAAAGCUCUUUCACCGGUGAAGAUAGUGACGGUAACCGGAGAAGAAGCCCCGGCUAACUUCGUGCCAGCCGCCGCAGUAACAC